GACGAACGCUGGCGGCGUGCUUAACACAUGCAAGUCGAACGGAAAGGCCUCUUUCGGGGGGUACUCGCGUGGCGAACGGGUGAGUAACACGUGAGUGACCUGCCCCUGACUUUGGGAUAAAUUCUGGGAACAGGGGGUAAUACCCGGUAUGAGCUCCUGCUCCUUGGGGGGGGUGGGAGAGUUUCUGCGGUUGUGGGUGGGGUCUCGGCUUAUCAGGUUUUUGGUGGGGGAGUGGCUUACCACGGGUUUGUGGGGGAUCCGGCCUGAGAGGGGGACCGGCCACAUUGGGCCUGAGAUACGGCCCAGACUCCUACGGGAGGCAGCAGUGGGGAUUUUUGCCCAUGGGUCGGAGCCUGAUUCCGGCACGGCCGGGUCGGGGUGAAGGCCCUUGGGUUGUUAACCGCCUUCGCUCAUGACGGAGCCUUGUGUGACGGUAGUGGGUAAAGAAGCACCGGCUAACUACGUG
rnacentral:rRNA from 1 species